GACGACGAUAUGCGACGUCAUAAACACGAUCAACUUUGGUGUUUAUGACGUCGAUAUUCGACGUCAUAAACACGAUCAACUUUGGUGUUUAUGACGUUCAUAUUCGACGUCAUAAACACGAUCAACUUUGGUGUUUAUGACGUUGAUAUUCGACGUC